UACGUAGGUGGCAAGCGUUGUCCGGAUUUAUUGGGUUUAAAGAGUGCGUAGGCGGCCUUAUAAGUCAGUGCUGAAAUAUCCCGGCUUAACCGGGAGGGUGGCAUUGAUACUGUAGGGCUUGAGUAAAGUUGAGGUUGGCGGAAUUGACGGUGUAGCGGUGAAAUGCUUAGAUAUCGUCAAGAACACCUAUUGCGAAGGCAGCUAACUAAGCUUAACUGACGCUGAUGCACGAAAGCGUGGGGAGUCAAACAGG
rnacentral:rRNA from 1 species